rnacentral:rRNA from 1 species
UACAGAGGGUGCAAGCGUUAAUCGGAAUAAUUGGGCGUAAAGGGUGCGUAGGUGGUUUUUUAAGUUGUGUGUGAAAGCCCCGGGCUUAACCUGGGAAUUGCAUACAAUACUGAAAGACUAGAGUCGGGUAGAGGGUAGUGGAAUUUCCGGUGUAGCGGUGAAAUGCGUAGAGAUCGGAAGGAACACCAGUGGCGAAGGCGGCUACCUGGACCCAGACUGACGCUGAGGCACGAAAGCGUGGGUAGCAAACAGG